GAUGGACCCAUUUCACCAAACGUAGCAUACAUGUCCUUGAGUGGUUCGCCAAUGUCAAAUUUUGCUUGUUUAUCAACUAAAAAGCUUCACACUUUCGAUGUGAUUUGCUUCAAGGAAGGUGCAUGCUUUUGUGUUUGAGCUUCACUGAUGGCUUCGAUGUUAAUCCAUUAGCUGAGUGGGUGAGCGAGAAAUUGAUUUACAAAUGGAACUCUGUGUCUCUUUGAUUCUCUUUCUGAUUUCUCUACCAGCAUUUUUGGCCAAAGAUGUUGGACAUGCUAGCGUUGUAGUUGAUGGGACAGUAGCUACUGCACAGGUUGAUAACAAUUUUGUCUGUGCCACUCUUGAUUGGUGGAAUCAUGAAAAGUGCGACUACAACCACUGUCCUUAGGGAUCGGCAUCUGUGUUAAAUUUGAGCUUGUCUCAUCCUCUGAUUGCCAAGUCAAUUCAAGCUUUCAAUCAGUUGAGGAUCAGAAUUGGGGGUUCCUUGCAAGAUCAAUAAUUGUAUGGUGUAGGAGAUUUGAAAUAUCCUUGCCAUCCUUUCAGAAAGCAGAAGGGUGGGUUGUUUGGAUUUUCUACAGGAUGUUUACCUAUGAGUAGAUGGGAUGAGCUUAACCAUUUUUUCAGCAAGAUGAGGCCCCUUGUCACAUUUAGCUUGAAUGCACUGUCAGGGAGGCACCACAAAGGCGCGGAUGUUUGGGUUGGAGAUUGGGACUCUAGCAAUGCCUAUGAUUUUAUUAAUUAUACAAUUUCGAAGGGCUACCACAUAAUUAUUUAGUUUCUUUAU